rnacentral:rRNA from 1 species
AACACCCCGUAAACGAUGAGUGGUAUGAAUAGGGGGUGUUCGCCCCUUAGUGUUGCAGGUAACGCAUUAAGCACUCCGCCUGGGGAGUACGACCGCAAGGUUGAAACUCAAAGGAAAUGACGGGGGGCCGCACAAACGGUGGAGCAUGUGGUGUAAUUGGAAGCAACGCGAAGAACCUUACCAAAUCUUGACAUCCUUUGAAAACUCUAGAGAUAGAGCCUUUCCCUUCGGGGGACAAAGUGACAGGUGGUGCAUGGUUGUCGUCAGCUCGUGUCGUGAGAUGUUGGGUUAAGUCCCGCAACGAGCGCAACCCUUAAACUUAGUUGCCAGCAUUUAGUUGGGCACUCUAGGUUGACUGCCGGUGACAAACCGGAGGAAGGUGGGGAUGACGUCAAAUCAUCAUGCCCCUUAUGAUUUGGGCUACACACGUGCUACAAUGGACAAUACAAAGGGCAGCUAAACCGCGAGGUCAUGCAAAUCCCAUAAAGUUGUUCUCAGUUCGGAUUGUAGUCUGCAACUCGACUACAUGAAGCUGGAAUCGCUAGUAAUCGUAGAUCAGCAUGCUACGGUGAAUACGUUCCCGGGUCUUGUACACACCGCCCGUCACACCACGAGAGUUUGUAACACCCGAAGCCGGUGGAGUAACCAUUUAUGGAGCUAGCCGCGAAGGGA